CCUACGGGAGGCAGCAGUGAGGAAUAUUGGUCAAUGGACGAGAGUCUGAACCAGCCAAGUAGCGUGAAGGAUGACUGCCCUAUGGGUUGUAAACUUCUUUUAUCUGGGAGUAAAGUGUUCCACGUGUGGGAUUUUGUAUGUACCAUAUGAAUAAGGAUCGGCUAACUCCGUGCCAGCAGCCGCGGUAAUACGGAGGAUCCGAGCGUUAUCCGGAUUUAUUGGGUUUAAAGGGAGCGUAGGUGGAUUGUUAAGUCAGUUGUGAAAGUUUGCGGCUCAACCGUCAAAUUGCAGUUGAAACUGGCAGUCUUGAGUACAGGAGAGGUGUGCGGAAUUCGUGGUGUAGCGGUGAAAUGCUUAGAUAUCACGAAGAACUCCGAUUGCGAAGGCAGCUUACUGGAGUGCAACUGACACUGAGGCUCGAAAGUGUGGGGAUCAAACAGGAUUAGAUACCCUUGUAGUC
rnacentral:rRNA from 1 species